rnacentral:lncRNA from 1 species
AAUAAAAUAAAAUAAAAAUUAUAUCAUAUGCAAGAAUACAAUUUAUAUCACGCACACAGCAUAUCAAGCUGACAUUUUAAAGUUUACAAUCAGAAAAGGAUGGCAUUUUUUUAUGUAAUACACACAUAACUCAGUCCUUACAGAGUCACAUAACACAUUAAGCCCAUUUGAGCACACCAAAAUGUGAAUGGAUAAGAAUGGUCUUAUAUGUGCUGAAUGGGUUUGCCAAAUAGUGCUUCAAGUAGUAGAAGAGAGACAAGCUUUCUAACUCACUGCCUUCAAAUUCCAACAAAUGAGCGAGCCUCCCUUGUUGUCCUCAAACAGGAGAGCAUAGAACAUAGAGAAUUGUGAGAGAAGUGAGAAAAUAAUGUCUUUGAGUGAAGAGAUGGAGACUUCAACAUAGACAAGAAUGGCAAAAGAGAAGUGACAAAAUCGUGACCUGAUGUGAAGAGAGAACUGUGAGAACAAUGUACUAAUCCUGUGAGAGAAAAGACAAUACCCACAAUCGCGAUUGAGUGUCACUUUUGUUCUGAAAUUUUAUGGCUCGUAGAAGUCUCAAUUAAUAUUAGUAUCGCGAUUUUGAGCUAUUCUUCACGAGCCUGUGCAAGUUUACACUAGAACGAUUUUGCAUGCGAGUUGGAUAGAUGUGAUAACCAUGCUCCCAAGUCAUCAAUUAGGUCUGAAUAUUUUGACCUUUUGUUAGUUUGUAAAUUAUCAUAUAUGCAUCUUUUAUCAUUUGCAUUCCAUAUCUGUUCUAUCACAAUCAGCUAUUGUAUUUUACACUUUUGAGUCAGCAUACUCCAAUGUGUUUUUAUUGCUAUUGUUUCGUUAUAUCUAACUUAAUUGGAGAACUAUGUCCUCAUUGUUCAUUAUCUAUGUAGUAAUUUGAUCGUGUUUACCUUUUGCUUUGGAAGAAAAUCUUUGACCAGAAAAUUGUGUGGAUCCACACAGGUGCUUAAUUUGAUCGUAGCUGACCUGUUUCAAGGGCAUCCAAUGAGUGAAAGGAAGCUCAAGGAACUUCUUGGUCACACUCCAUCUCAAGUCUUUGCUGGUGCUCUGCUUGGCUUUUUAGUAGCUUGUUUCUGUUGUCAAGCUGGUGUAGUGGGAGUUUAGGUGAUUCCAUUGUCAGUUUUGGUCAAACUGUAUUGAUAUCAUUGUUUGCCCUGAUGUUGCCUUCUGGUAUAUGACAUGGCCUGCUUAACCAGUACACUGUAUCUAAAGGACAAAUAAUAAACCUGAGUAGAUGUAAAUGAGAUUUUUUUUUUCUUCAGUCUCUUACACUUAGAAGGCUCACCAUUAAAUUUCCAAAUGGAAUAAAAUUCUUGAGACAUCAACCUUGCCUGAAUUACUCCACUCUCUCCUUGAAUGUUUACCUUCCUACUUUAUACAUAAAGCCCGGGUACAAGUUUUGGGAGCAAAUUUAUAACCUACUCUACAUAAAGCAUUGUGGAGCUAUGACAAGAAAUUCUUAAAAACUUAUUAGUUGAAAAGAGGACUUUAUAUCAGUUAAGAAGUCUUUUGAGAGUUGACAUAUUUAAGUAAAUGAUAACAAUAAUAGUGUCAUUAUUAUCAUAUUAAACUUGUACACUAACUUUACAAGAUAAUACAUUAUGGUAGUAUGUUGAACUAUCU